rnacentral:misc_RNA from 1 species
CACGUUUCAUCAUAUUCCACGUUUUUGAUAUUCGGUUGGUUAUUACUAGAUAGCUAAGACCCUCUUAUCUGAACUUAUAGAUUUAUGCGAAAACAGUCAAGCACAAAUUCCUCUAAAUUCAUGUCUUGACAUGGUAACUACACGCUAACGACACAAGUGCUACAUAAUAUCUACAUUUCCAUGUAAUUACUGAAAGCGCCACCUGAGGGGAAAAUGUAUUUGAAUGGCAAACGAUCAGGAAUUCGAUAUUGAUCACUCAUAUGUACUCGAUGUGGCCUGGGACAUGGAUCUAAAUGUACAGGGUUUCUACAUUGGUGCAUUCGACAAGAGGGUGUGUGAGCUAGACAUGGUGGCAAGACCCUCAGAAAAAACGGACUCAGUCCACUUAAGCCCCCUAUAUUUAAACAAUUCAACGACUUGAGGUAAAUAUCGGAAAAUAUUAGUGAUUGUAAAUUCUUCUUGAAGAUCCAUGUCAUCUGUCCUUUGAACUUAAAAGAAAACCACAAUAUGUUUAACCUGAACAGCGCUAAAGUGAUAACAUUUUCAUUAUUUUCGGAGCAGUAUCAACAUCAUACCCCCUUUGUCAACAACGGGCUAAUCGCUCUCAGUCAAGGAUUGGAAACAAUAUUCCUCGUUUUUGAUAUUCCGUCGAAUAUU